GGGCCCGUAGCUCAGGGGAUAGAGCAUCGGUUUCCGGUGCCGUGUGUCGCAGGUUCGAAUCCUGCCGGGCCCG
rnacentral:tRNA from 2 species